rnacentral:rRNA from 1 species
CCGUAACAGAGGGAAGCAAGAUAGUGAUAUGGAGCAAAACCCUAAAAAGCGGUCUCAGUUCGGAUUGAAGGCUGAAAUUCGCCUUCAUGAAGCUGGAAUUGCUAGUAAUGGCAGGUCAGCAUACUGCCGUGAAUACGUUCCCGGGCCUUGUACACACCGCCCGUCACACCAUGAGAGUCGGGAACACCCGAAGUCCGUAGUCUAACCGCAAGGGGGCGCGGCCGAAGGUGGGUCCGGUAAUUGGGGUGAAGUCGUAACAAGGUAGC